UCGAAGAAUUGAAGAAAGAAGUAAAUGAACAGUGCGAGAAAUUGGAGCGCGAUAUCAACGAUGUUGAGUUGUUAAUUAAGAGAAACAAAGAACUGGAAGAAGAAAACAAGAUGAUACUUGAAAGGGAUUUCGAAUUGAAUAGGCAGCUUUCUGAAUUGCAGGAAAGGUUGGUCAAUAAGGACAAGAUAAUCAGGUUGAAAACCACGCUGGUGCAAAAUAAACAAAAGGACAUAACUAUCCUUAAAGAAAAAACUGAACAAUUGCUACAUAUAUAUGAGAAGAGUAUGAAAAACAAUUUGAGGGACAUAAGUGACAUGUGUGCGGAAAUUUGCAAUCAGCCGUCUACCACUCAGGACGACCCGGACGAAAUGGAAACAACGGUUUAAUAUUUUAUUUCUAUCGCGAUAUUUGCAUAAACGAAGAAGAGAAUAUUUCAUAUGUGGUUAGAACGUAUGACAAAAUUCGAUUAUAGUGACAGGUGGAUAAUCGCAGUUCUCAUUGAUACGUGUGUCAACUGUACGAUUAUCUACCAUUCACUUAAUUCGGUUAAUUUAUUACUUCAGGAACAUACGUAUUCUCCGUUGAUAUAAUCGUUACGAUAUUUUAUAUCUUUCCUUUCUCUUCCAACAAUUUGUUAGAAAAUUCUCAUCGAAUAUUGAACCGAUCUCUUUCCGCAACUUAGUCUCCUCUUUCGUAUCGAAUGGUUUUAUAUCUGUGGUUUCAAUUAUUUAUAUAUGUGUGUGUGUGUGAGCUGUUAGGCUUGUGAUUUUAGCUAAGACGUAAUUAGACUAUAGGACUAUUAAUUGAGAUUUUAGCGUGACGAAGAUAACGUAACUAAGUACAUGUGAGAAGUGUAUCGACCUUUUAGCUACGAAUAGCGCGGACAAAGACGUUGACGAAUUCAGCUACAGAAAUUAUUUCUGAACGACGACAUAAUUCCUAUUCCAGUUUUAACUGGACAUUCCGUGUCGCGUUAAAACUGGAAUUGAAAUUACGGAAUAAGGUUUCUGUACCGCCCAAAUCUCGCCAAAUCUUCUUCAGCGUUUAUUCGCGACUAAAUCAAUUUUUCAGUCUGAAAAUAUUUCUCUGAUUACCUUACAUUUAGUUCGAACUAUAAUAAUAAUAAUAAUAAUUAUUUUUUUAACAA